AGUGAACGCUGGCGGUAGGCCUAACACAUGCAAGUCGAACGGCAGCACAGUAAGAGCUUGCUCUUACGGGUGGCGAGUGGCGGACGGGUGAGGAAUACAUCGGAAUCUACUUUUUCGUGGGGGAUAACGUAGGGAAACUUACGCUAAUACCGCAUACGACCUACGGGUGAAAGCAGGGGAUCUUCGGACCUUUCGCGAUUGAAUGAGCCGAUGUCGGAUUAGCUAGUUGGCGGGGUAAAGGCCCACCAAGGCGACGAUCCGUAGCUGGUCUGAGAGGAUGAUCAGCCACACUGGAACUGAGACACGGUCCAGACUCCUACGGGAGGCAGCAGUGGGGAAUAUUGGACAAUGGGCGCAAGCCUGAUCCAGCCAUACCGCGUGGGUGAAGAAGGCCUUCGGGUUGUAAAGCCCUUUUGUUGGGAAAGAAAGGCAGCAGGUUAAUACCCCGCUGUUCUGACGGUACCCAAAGAAUAAGCACCGGCUAACUUCGUG
rnacentral:rRNA from 1 species